GAUGAACGCUGGCGGCGUGCCUAAUACAUGCAAGUCGAGCGAACGGACGAGAAGCUUGCUUCUCUGAUGUUAGCGGCGGACGGGUGAGUAACACGUGGAUAACCUACCUAUAAGACUGGGAUAACUUCGGGAAACCGGAGCUAAUACCGGAUAAUAUUUUGAACCGCAUGGUUCAAAAGUGAAAGACGGUCUUGCUGUCACUUAUAGAUGGAUCCGCGCUGCAUUAGCUAGUUGGUAAGGUAACGGCUUACCAAGGCAACGAUGCAUAGCCGACCUGAGAGGGUGAUCGGCCACACUGGAACUGAAACACGUUCCAGACUCCUACGGGAGGCAGCAGUAGGGAAUCUUCCGCAAUGGGCGAAAGCCUGACGGAGCAACGCCGCGUGAGUGAUGAAGGUCUUCGGAUCGUAAAACUCUGUUAUUAGGGAAGAACAUAUGUGUAAGUAACUGUGCACAUCUUGACGGUACCUAAUCAGAAAGCCACGGCUAACUACGUG
rnacentral:rRNA from 1 species